UUCAUCCGAUUGUCCUCUUCGGAUCGUCUAUAUAUUUGCCGUCUACUUCUUUUCUUCACCCCUCCAAACAAAAUCCAGAGCUCUCUCUCUUUGCCUCUGUCUCUUCUACCCUGCUCUCUUCUUCUCUGGGUUUAGGAAGCAAUGGACGCGUAUGCCAUUCAUCUCGCCAUGGCGGCGCUGGUGGGCGCCUCCUUCGUGGCCGUCUCGGCCUAUUACAUGCACCGGAAAACCCUAAGCCAGUUGCUGGAGUUCGCGCGGACGGUGGAGCGCGAAAGGGCCGCCGCCGGAGACGACGAUGAGGACGGUGGAGUCGAGAGGGAGGGGGAGGCCUACCGGAGGUCGUCUUUGCGGCGGGGCCACCAGCAGCACUCCCGCCGGAAGGGGGCGGGGUACUAUCGCCGCGGCGGCGGGUCGGCGUCGCUGCCGGACGUGAUACUGGCGGCGGCCGAGGUCGACGGGGAGGAGGAGGAUGAGGAGGAACAGCAGAUGUGGCCGGCGAUGAAUGGGCCGUUGUCAGCGGCGGCGACCGCUGAAGGCCUGCCAAUACCCCCCGGCCUGCCUAGGCUCCACACGGUCCCGGAAGGUAGUAAGCAAUCCAUUCAUGGGAGUUCAAUUAAAAAAGCCGGACAUAUCAGGCCAACUUCUCCCAGGUCUCCUGUUGCUAGUGCCAGUGCCUUUGAGAGUGUGGAGGGAUCGGAUGAAGAAGAUAAUCUGCACAGUGACUCUAAACUUGACAAUACCUACUUGAACACAAAUGGCGACAUUGGACCGGAGCAUAAAAGCAUAUAUCAAGCUAUGCCUAAUCAAAUCGCUGACAAUGGAGAUUCAAAGUCAUUACCUGCAGCUAGCAUGAUUCGAUCUCAUAGUGUAUCUGGUAAUAUGCAUGGUGCCCAGCCUGAUCCAGUAGCGGCAGAUAUUCUUAGAAAAGAGCCUGAACAAGAAACGUUUGUCAGACUGAAAAUUACACCCAGUGAGACACCGAAUGCGGAUGAAGCCGAGGUCUACAAAAUUCUUCAGAAAUGUCUUGAGUUGCGAGAAAGUUAUUUAUUCCGAGAAGAGGUUGCUCCUUGGGAGAAGGAAGUUAUAACUGACCCCAGUACACCAAAGCCUAAUCCUAGCCCAUUUGCCUAUACACCUGAACAGAAAACAGAUCAUUUCUUUCAAAUGGUAGAUGGGGUCGUUCAUGUAUAUGCAAAUAAGGAAUUAACAGAAAGACUUUUCCCUGUGGCUGAUGCUACAACAUUUUUUACGGAUUUGCAUUAUAUCCUCCGAGUAAUUGCAGCUGGAAAUAUCAGAACUGUAUGCCACCACAGAUUAUGUCUUCUAGAGCAAAAAUUUAAUAUACACUUAAUGCUCAAUGCGGAUAGAGAGUUUCUUGCUCAAAAAAGUGCACCACAUCGUGAUUUUUAUAAUGUCAGGAAGGUUGACACUCAUGUUCAUCACUCAGCAUGCAUGAACCAGAAACAUCUGUUGAGAUUUAUAAAGUCGAAGUUGAGGAAGGAACCUGAUGAGGUUGUAAUCUUUAGGGAUGGCACGUAUAUGACUUUGAAAGAGGUUUUUGAGAGUUUGGACUUGAGCGGGUACGACCUCAGUGUUGAUCUGUUAGAUGUCCAUGCUGACAAGAGCACUUUUCAUCGCUUUGACAAGUUCAAUCUUAAGUACAAUCCUUGUGGCCAGAGUAGGCUGAGGGAGAUUUUUCUUAAGCAAGAUAAUCUCAUCCAAGGCCGCUUCCUUGCUGAGCUAACAAAACAAGUCUUUAGUGAUCUUGCUGGGAGUAAAUAUCAGAUGGCUGAGUAUAGGAUAUCAAUAUAUGGACGGAAACAAAGUGAGUGGGAUCAACUCGCAAGUUGGAUAGUGAAUAAUGAGUUGUACAGCGAAAAUGUUGUCUGGUUGAUUCAGAUUCCACGGCUAUAUAAUGUCUACAAGGAAAUUGGUAUAGUUACAUCAUUCCAGAACAUUCUGGACAAUAUCUUCCUUCCCCUUUUUGAGGUCACUGUGGACCCGGAAUCGCAUCCUCAGUUGCACGUUUUCUUAAAACAGGUUGUGGGGUUGGAUUUGGUGGAUGAUGAAAGUAAACCUGAAAGACGGCCAACAAAGCACAUGCCUACACCAGCUCAAUGGACCAAUAUCUUUAAUCCUGCAUUCUCUUAUUAUGCCUACUAUUGUUAUGCCAACCUAUACACAUUGAACAAGCUUCGUGAGUUAAAGGGCAUGACAACUAUCAAAUUUCGUCCCCAUGCUGGAGAGGCUGGUGAUAUUGACCACCUUGCUGCGACAUUUCUUGUUGCUCAUAAUAUUGCUCAUGGAAUCAACUUAAGGAAAUCCCCUGUUCUUCAACAUUUGUAUUAUCUUGCUCAGAUUGGUUUGGCAAUGUCUCCUUUGAGCAACAACUCCUUGUUUCUUGAUUACCAUCGGAACCCUUUCCCGCAAUUCUUCCAUAGAGGCCUAAAUAUUUCUCUCUCAACAGACGAUCCUUUGCAAAUACACCUAACAAAAGAACCUUUGGUGGAGGAAUACAGUAUUGCAGCUUCGCUAUGGAAGUUAACCGCAUGUGAUUUAUGUGAAAUUGCUAGAAAUUCAGUUUUACAGUCGGGCUUCUCGCAUGCUCUCAAGUCACAUUGGAUUGGUAGAACUUACUAUAAGAGAGGUCCUGAUGGGAAUGAUAUUCAUAAGACGAAUGUUCCUCAUAUCCGAGUGGAGUUUCGUGACACGAUAUGGAGAGAAGAGAUGCAGCUAGUUUAUUUGGGUAUGGCAGAUUUGCCUGAAGAAUUGGACAAAUGAGGUGUUUUUGGCUGUGAGUUAUAUUCUAUUCUUCAUGGUUAUUGGCUCAGUUUUCUGAGAACGGUGGCCCCUGGCUCAUCUACCUUACGUUUUAGAUAAAGAUGCCUGUACCCGUGCAUGCAAAAUCAGAGAUGGGCUUGCUUGGGGGUGGAGAGUUGGACACAAGCUAUAUAAAACUUGGUUAGAAACACACUAGCUGUAAGCUAAAGACCACAAUAAUGGCAGAGGCUGGUGCAUAAUCUUUUCACUCUGAAUGAAGGAAAUUAAAAGAGAAACAGUGAUGAAUCUGAUUGUAGAUUAAUAGUUUAUGAUAUUUCGGCAUAUGUUUCUACAAAUAAUGGUUCUUCCUUCAAGGAAUCCUUAGUCACAUACGUAUAGGCCUUUUUUUUUUAUUUAUUUGUUGCUUGCAGUACGGCAGAAAUUUUGUGCUAUUUUUCUGCAUUAAUAUCUUAUAAACCUGAAGGAGCCAGUGUUACGUGUCCUCAUUAGCUGAUAAUUUGAAAUAAACUGGGCUUUCGUAUUUUGACAAUUUCAA